GUCUGGUCUGAAGAUGGUGAGUUAUGUCAAAUGAUUGUUCAUAGUCAGUUAAAGAUGGAAUUCCUUGUUCUACUCUUUCCUUCUCAUUGCUGCACUUGACUCAUCUUAA
rnacentral:Y_RNA from 1 species